AUUGAACGCUGGCGGCAGGCUUAACACAUGCAAGUCGAGCGGGGUGAUGUAGCUUGCUACAUUACCUAGCGGCGGACGGGUGAGUAAUGCUUAGGAAUCUGCCUAUUAGUGGGGGACAACAUUCCGAAAGGAAUGCUAAUACCGCAUACGCCCUACGGGGGAAAGCAGGGGAUCUUCGGACCUUGCGCUAAUAGAUGAGCCUAAGUCAGAUUAGCUAGUUGGUGGGGUAAAGGCCUACCAAGGCGACGAUCUGUAGCGGGUCUGAGAGGAUGAUCCGCCACACUGGGACUGAGACACGGCCCAGACUCCUGCGGGAGGCAGCAGUGGGGAAUAUUGGACAAUGGGCGAAAGCCUGAUCCAGCCAUGCCGCGUGUGUGAAGAAGGCCUUUUGGUCGUAAAGCACUUUAAGCGAGGAGGAGGCUACUUGGAUUAAUACUCUAGGAUAGUGGACGUUACUCGCAGAAUAAGCACCGGCUAACUCUGUGCCAGCCGCCGCGGUAAUAC
rnacentral:rRNA from 1 species